UACGGAGGGUGCGAGCGUUGUUCGGAAUCACUGGGCGUAAAGCGCGUGUAGGCGGCGCUGUAAGUCGGAUGUGAAAGCCCUCGGCUCAACCGAGGAAGUGCAUCCGAUACUGCGGUGCUUGAGUCUCGGAGGGGGUGGCGGAAUUCCUGGUGUAGAGGUGAAAUUCGUAGAUAUCAGGAGGAACACCUGUGGCGAAGGCGGCCACCUGGACGAGUACUGACGCUGAGGCGCGAAAGCGUGGGGAGCGAACAGG
rnacentral:misc_RNA from 1 species